CGUGUAGGCGGAUGGGUCAGUCAGAUGUGAAAUUCCAGGGCUCAACUCUGGACCUGCAUUUGAUACCUCUCAUCUAGAGUAUGGGAGAGGAGAUCGGAAUUCCUGGUGUAGCGGUGAAAUGCGUAGAUAUCAGGAAGAACACCGGUGGCGAAGGCGGAUCUCUGGCCUAAUACUGACGCUGAUGCGCGAAAGCUGGGGGAGCAAACA
rnacentral:rRNA from 1 species